UGUGAGCUCGAUGAGUAGGGCGGGACACGUGGUAUCCUGUCUGAAUAUGGGGGGACCAUCCUCCAAGGCUAAAUACUCCUGACUGACCGAUAGUGAACCAGUACCGUGAGGGAAAGGCGAAAAGAACCCCGGCGAGGGGAGUGAAAAAGAACCUGAAACCGUGUACGUACAAGCAGUGGGAGCCUCUUUAUGGGGUGACUGCGUACCUUUUGUAUAAUGGGUCAGCGACUUAUAUUCUGUAGCAAGGUUAACCGAAUAGGGGAGCCGAAGGGAAACCGAGUCUUAACUGGGCGUUAAGUUGCAGGGUAUAGACCCGAAACCCGGUGAUCUAGCCAUGGGCAGGUUGAAGGUUGGGUAACACUAACUGGAGGACCGAACCGACUAAUGUUGAAAAAUUAGCGGAUGACUUGUGGCUGGGGGUGAAAGGCCAAUCAAACCGGGAGAUAGCUGGUUCUCCCCGAAAGCUAUUUAGGUAGCGCCUCGUGAAUUCAUCUCCGGGGGUAGAGCACUGUUUCGGCAAGGGGGUCAUCCCGACUUACCAACCCGAUGCAAACUGCGAAUACCGGAGAAUGUUAUCACGGGAGACACACGGCGGGUGCUAACGUCCGUCGUGAAGAGGGAAACAACCCAGACCGCCAGCUAAGGUCCCAAAGUCAUGGUUAAGUGGGAAACGAUGUGGGAAGGCCCAGACAGCCAGGAUGUUGGCUUAGAAGCAGCCAUCAUUUAAAGAAAGCGUAAUAGCUCACUGGUCGAGUCGGCCUGCGCGGAAGAUGUAACGGGGCUAAACCAUGCACCGAAGCUGCGGCAGCGACGCUUAUGCGUUGUUGGGUAGGGGAGCGUUCUGUAAGCCUGCGAAGGUGUACUGUGAGGUAUGCUGGAGGUAUCAGAAGUGCGAAUGCUGACAUAAGUAACGAUAAAGCGGGUGAAAAGCCCGCUCGCCGGAAGACCAAGGGUUCCUGUCCAACGUUAAUCGGGGCAGGGUGAGUCGACCCCUAAGGCGAGGCCGAAAGGCGUAGUCGAUGGGAAACAGGUUAAUAUUCCUGUACUUGGUGUUACUGCGAAGGGGGGACGGAGAAGGCUAUGUUGGCCGGGCGACGGUUGUCCCGGUUUAAGCGUGUAGGCUGGUUUUCCAGGCAAAUCCGGAAAAUCAAGGCUGAGGCGUGAUGACGAGGCACUACGGUGCUGAAGCAACAAAUGCCCUGCUUCCAGGAAAAGCCUCUAAGCAUCAGGUAACAUCAAAUCGUACCCCAAACCGACACAGGUGGUCAGGUAGAGAAUACCAAGGCGCUUGAGAGAACUCGGGUGAAGGAACUAGGCAAAAUGGUGCCGUAACUUCGGGAGAAGGCACGCUGACAUGUAGGUGAAGUCCCUCGCGGAUGGAGCUGAAAUCAGUCGAAGAUACCAGCUGGCUGCAACUGUUUAUUAAAAACACAGCACUGUGCAAACACGAAAGUGGACGUAUACGGUGUGACGCCUGCCCGGUGCCGGAAGGUUAAUUGAUGGGGUUAGCGGUAACGCGAAGCUCUUGAUCGAAGCCCCGGUAAACGGCGGCCGUAACUAUAACGGUCCUAAGGUAGCGAAAUUCCUUGUCGGGUAAGUUCCGACCUGCACGAAUGGCGUAAUGAUGGCCAGGCUGUCUCCACCCGAGACUCAGUGAAAUUGAACUCGCUGUGAAGAUGCAGUGUACCCGCGGCAAGACGGAAAGACCCCGUGAACCUUUACUAUAGCUUGACACUGAACAUUGAGCCUUGAUGUGUAGGAUAGGUGGGAGGCUUUGAAGUGUGGACGCCAGUCUGCAUGGAGCCGACCUUGAAAUACCACCCUUUAAUGUUUGAUGUUCUAACGUUGGCCCCUAAUCGGGGUUGCGGACAGUGUCUGGUGGGUAGUUUGACUGGGGCGGUCUCCUCCUAAAGAGUAACGGAGGAGCACGAAGGUUGGCUAAUCCUGGUCGGACAUCAGGAGGUUAGUGCAAUGGCAUAAGCCAGCUUGACUGCGAGCGUGACGGCGCGAGCAGGUGCGAAAGCAGGUCAUAGUGAUCCGGUGGUUCUGAAUGGAAGGGCCAUCGCUCAACGGAUAAAAGGUACUCCGGGGAUAACAGGCUGAUACCGCCCAAGAGUUCAUAUCGACGGCGGUGUUUGGCACCUCGAUGUCGGCUCAUCACAUCCUGGGGCUGAAGUAGGUCCCAAGGGUAUGGCUGUUCGCCAUUUAAAGUGGUACGCGAGCUGGGUUUAGAACGUCGUGAGACAGUUCGGUCCCUAUCUGCCGUGGGCGCUGGAGAACUGAGGGGGGCUGCUCCUAGUACGAGAGGACCGGAGUGGACGCAUCACUGGUGUUCGGGUUGUCAUGCCAAUGGCACUGCCCGGUAGCUAAAUGCGGAAGAGAUAAGUGCUGAAAGCAUCUAAGCACGAAACUUGCCCCGAGAUGAGUUCUCCCUGACUCCUUGAGAGUCCUGAAGGAACGUUGAAGACGACGACGUUGAUAGGCCGGGUGUGUAAGCGCAGCGAUGCGUUGAGCUAACCGGUACUAAUGAACCGUGAGGCUUAACC
rnacentral:rRNA from 1 species